rnacentral:lncRNA from 1 species
GGAUAUCUGGUUUAUCUUUUAAGGCAACGCGUAUAAUUAAGAGCCUUCUUUAAGAAGGACUCUCUAUUUCACAUGCUAAUUUGAGAUGUGGCGGCAUUUAUUUUUUGCAUGACUUUUAGUGGAUGUAGAGGAGUCUUUCUCCACUUGAAACUAGUUCAAGUUGGAUAAGGUUCCAAUUUAAAUUGAUCCAAUAACAUUGGAUCAAAGGCAAC